AUUGCAUACGAAUAUUAUUGUUAUUAUUAUCAUUUCUUAUUAUUGUUAUACGAUAAUACCACGAGAACGUUGUCGGGCACCGGAUGCGCACGCCGUCGCGUCACAGUGUACUAUUUAAGUUCUCGGGAAAAUAUCCCCGCGACAUUGCAAUAUCGCAGUGUAUCGUAAGAAUCUCGUUGCACUUGGUACGGCGCGAGGACCUCGCUUUUCCCCUACGAGAGUUAGACCUGUACACGGUCUGUAUCGUUCCGACGAAAAACGCGCGUGUGUGACUGGUAUGCGGUGUUGCCAAUACAAACGUACGUUCGUAGUCGCGAUUUUUGUUACCUAACCUAGCCUGUUUGGUUAUCGUAUUGCUUUCCGUUAUCACAACUAUACGACCGAACGCGUACGCUAUACGUUCGCACU